rnacentral:lncRNA from 1 species
UCCCCCUUGAACUACUCUGUGUGCAUUUUCCAGAGAGCGUGUGUUUCAAAUGAAAGGUCAAACAGGAGAUCGGUUUCAGUUUGGAGCUACAGGAGGGUGAUUAUUUCUCUAAUGUGAUUUGCUUCCUGUUGCUAAAACAGUCCUUUGAAAUGAGGUUGUUUGCUAAGUGAGGCAUCUCCUUCCUCUUUCUCCUGUGGAUGAAUUACAGAGUAAGAAGAAUCAUUCUGAGGCUCCUCACUGUGAUGGACUGAGGAGCCUUAUUUAUUCCCUGUGGAUAGUGGCCUGCCACUGGAGAGCCACAGGCUGGAGUGACAGAGCUGACUCAUGGGGUAGGGAGAAAAUGGCCUGGAUCACUGACAGAGGAAUCAAACUCAGGACCUUGUGCUUGCAAGGCAGGCGGCAGAACUACUGAGCUAAAUUCCCGGCCCACAAUGUUCAUUUUCAUUGCUGUGAUUACAUUACACUGGUUGCAGAUGGGUGACUGCUGCCUGAUCCUGGGUGAGAGGCAUUUUCUUUGCCAGUUGUCCAAAGAAUGGAAAUUUCCUGCAGUUUCACAGACAUAAUGGAUAUAUGCUGACUUUUUAAAAGCCAUCUGUUACUAGGGGCAAAAAGAAAUAAAAGAGGAAAAUACUUACUUUUAGACUCUCUAAUAUACGUGAAAAAAAAUCUUCCUAAAGAAAUGAGCAAAAAAAAAAAAGAAAGAAAGAAAAGAAAAGAACAACAGUCUUCAUAAAUCUGGAUCCUAGUACUCAUAUUGCAGGUUACCAGGUUCCAAGUGGCAUCUUAAGACCGGGAGGACACAAGGAACAAGGUGCAGCCUAAUCUGAAGAACAAGGGCAGUUCCUACGGAUGUGGACCUUGAGCAUCAGCUGGGCAGAAUGAAGUGAGACAGAAGCUGUCUCCUCGCUGAGUCUGGCAGCCAAAGAGGCUCAGGGGCCCGGACCCAGGAUGAACCUCAUGGGAAACCUCUUGGACCUCACCUUGCAGAUUCUACCAACUUUGCUACUAGGCUGUAACCUUGAUGAAUGGAAAAGAACGGGUCAUCCUAUCCACUGGAUUAUUUAAGUCUUCUUCUGCUGAGAUCACCUUUGGUGAGCAUUUAUGUGGAACACAAAUAUCUUUAUGUUCUUUGUCUAAAUGGAGAGGUCUAGUCAUAUACCUCAUUCCCAAAUAUCUUUGUCACCAGUUUUCUAGUCACGUUCCUUCCAAGUCCCUGACCAUCUGGCCAGACCAUUGGCUACAGCCCAUGAAUCAGUAUAUAGUUGCACAUCUGAUCAUUCUUUUCUUCCUAGAAAAAUGUGCAAUCAGGGGCACUGUCUUAAUCUGUGCCCAGUGUGAAGAUUUCUCUUCACUACUGUUCUUCAGGGAAGUCCUGGAAAUGUGAUAGCUGUCCACUUUCAAGUGGUAGCUUCAUAACAUGCAGAGCCAUUUGUAAACCAGGACCUAGUCUUCUCUUCCUGUGCCAAUUGAUCAUGUGAUAUUCCCCAUGAGGCCGUAGGUAUAUGCUGGACAACAAAAGGCAGUAUAGCAGGAGUAGGAACCAUGGGUUUUUGGGCAACUUCUUCAUGUAAGUUACUUGUACUUUUCAAAACUGUUCAGGGUUGAUUGUGUAUUUACUACUUCCAUUUCAUGGUGGACUGUUGCUGUGCAUGUUUAAGUUUAUGACUUGGAGGGUCAGAUAGUACUAUUUCAUGAUGGGCAGCUCAAGUUGCAUGGUAACCUGGUGUCCUAUGGUCAAGCUUUCAGUUUCCACUAAGGCCUAGUACCAGGCGAGGAGCUGGUUUUCAGCAAGAGUACUUGUCUGCAGAUAAUUGCAGAGCCAUGCUCCAAAAUCCUGAAGUUUGCCACUGUGAUUCACCUAUGGGAGCCUUCCAGAGGCUCCAAAUAGCAUCACUGUUUGCCACCAACAUGUUAAGUACCAUUGGAUUAUGAGUCAGUCAGUAAAUGGGCCAGAAUAACACAGAUGAUUAGCAGAAUUAAAGGGUGUAACACACAGAAAAAGUCCCUUGAAUUUUAACAGUCAAGAAGAGUAUCUCUAGACAUUGAGAAAAACCAUACAGGGAGAAAUGUUAGGGAAAAGAAGGACACAUUUAUUAAAUAUCAACUCAAUGGAGCACUUGGCUCGUUUGUUUGUUUUAAGGUCUUGCCAUUGUUUAAAUGGCUAGCUCUACCCUCUCUCUUUUUUUUUUUUGAGAUUGUUUUGUAUUCUGCAACAUCUAUUCUUCUUUUUUUUUCUUUAUUAAAUUCUUUUAUUGGUACACUGUAGGUAUACAACACAAUUACAUUUCUCAUUGGGAAUUGUACCUUUACAUAAUGCAUCUUGGUUCUUAUUUUUCCCCAUUGCUAGCCCUCCCUUCACCCCCUCCUCCCUUCCCUAUUUACAAAGACUUUAGUUCCAUUUUUUCCAUUUCUCAGCAUUUUUCCUUUCCCUUCUUUCCUUUCCCCUGCCCCUCCCACUACCCCUACCCCUUUGGACCUUUGCUUCCUAUUUUGCAUUAUUGAUUAUUCAUUCUAAUCAUUGGUACAUUUUAGGUAUACAAUAGAAUGACAUUCAUCAUUGGAAGUUUGCACCUUUCCAUUGAAAGUCUACCCUCUCUCUUAAGACUUAAGAUUGCAUGUCACUAAGGGGAACAAUUCACAUCUUUGUAAGGAGCAUGGAAAACUCGGUCCUGGGGAUAUACCCACCUUUUCUGGAAUUUUGCAGAGCACUUUCCAUCACUUGUGAUGACCCACUGCUUCUUGCGCCUACAUUCUUACCCAUGUGAAUUCCAUUCUCACCUACUCAAGUCCCAUUUGUCUCUGCCCUCUGACUUUUUUUUGGGGGGGGGGUACCAGGGAUCCAACUCAGGCCCUUGCACUUGUGAGGCAGGUGGUGGCACCACGGAGCCAAAUCCCUGGCCCUGCCCUCUGGCUUCUGAUAAGAGAGCUCCCUGUCUACCGUUUUAUUCAUUUGGAACAGAGUUCUUUGGCUUUACUCACCUUUCCUUUUGCUGCAAGCUUAGCCCCAUGGCUAACAGGCCCCUUCCUGUUUCUGUCUGAAAUAGGGAGCAGUCAGGGCUCUCACCAGGGGAGACCACUCAGAUAUAGCCUUAUAGACACAACUGUGUUGAACCUUCAGAGUUUUGGGUAGUGUGCUCUAGAUAGAAGUUAAGUACCAUUCAAAUGAAAAAAGUGAACUGUUGGGGUUGACAUGUAAUUUUGUGGAUCAAGUCAUGCUGAACCUCCUUCAUUUGUUCCCUCUCUGGAUGCACUCAGGCAGAUCUCACCAGAUAAAGGAGGAGACCAAGUCAGACAACAAGGAAAUUAUCCACAUCAAACCCUCUGUUGCGAGUUCAAAAUGGUUGGAUGCAGUGCUUUUCUUAUAGCAGAAGUACUAUGGGGGAGGGGAGUUGCAUGCCUGCAUUGGUGUUUUAUAGCAACUACAUGUGGCCCAGAACUUUGGGAUAUUCCUGUCCUGUCUGCAUUCCAGCCGUGUCAAGAUCUUGCUUCUGUUUUUCAUGAAAAGAGCUCUGUGCUGUUUACAUGAGCUGCAGCUUGACCCGCAGCUGUACAACUUUCUUCUUCUAUUGUCUCAGGUCAAGAUGAAUUACAGACAGAGCCUUGACCAUAAAUAUUUAAUGAUUUUUAUCUUCAAAGCAUUGUGCAAGCACACUUAGUCUUAUUUUGAAGUGCUGAGUAGGCAUCUCCGAUCUUCUUUUAUGACAUAGUUUCUUUUUUAAAUGCUAGUCGCACCCUUUAUUCUGAAUCCUUAAUACAAGGCUGAGUUGUCUUUUUAUAAUAGCUUUAUUAAGAUAUAACUCAUAUAAUCAUAAAAUUUACCCUUUUAAAAUGUAGUGCUCAGUGGUUUUUAGUAUUUUUGGAGUUGUGCAACCAUUGCCACUCUCUGAUCUUAGAAUACUGUCUUCAUCACUCUGAAACGAAAUUGAUUUUCAGUAACUCUCCAUUCUGCCUCCCUCACCCUAUCUGACCUAAAGUACCUGUGGCAGACACUAAUCUAUUUUCUGUCUUUAUACCUAUUCUGAACAGUCUCACAUGUUUCUACUUGCCUUCUUUCUCUGCUACCUGCCUCCAUGAGAAGAGCAUCCCAGGGAUUGUCCACUUAUCCCAGAAGGUGAAUGAAAGACACUUGGAAAUGGAACAGAACUUUUCACCUCAGACAAGAGCAACUGCUUCGCAAAUUACUCAGAGUAGCUUGAACUAAAUAAAUCCUUGCUGUUACAUUCCACUGAGCUCUUGUGACCAUUUGUUAUGCAGUGAUAGCUUACUAAUACAAUGGCCAUUGUUAGCAACUCAGUUUUCCAUCUUAUGUUUUCACCAUCCAAGAGAGAUGGGGACAACUAGUGUCUGGUUCCAGCUAAGGGCUCUGAUUGACCCAUCCCUAAUUAUAAGUUAACAGGUUAGCCUGGCAUAGUUUCAUGGAAGUAAGCCAACAAAAUGUGGCCAUGAAGUGACAUGGAAGUGAAGACAUUAUUGUCACUGUUAUGUGAAGGAGUGGGGACAAUUGCUGAGAAAGGAAGGGGUGCUGGACACAUAGAACAUGCAGUCAUGACCUAGGAGGGACAAUGAGGUGCUACCCAAGCAGAGUGCAACUAUGUUCUUGGCACGUUUUACUUAUGUCUGUUCAGUCAUCAGGGAGAGAGCGAGCGAGCGAGAGAGAGAGAGAGAGAGAGGACCGAAUAAUGGUAAUUUUUCCUGGGAUGAAAGUGAAGUGUGUGUGUGUGUGUGUGUGUGUGUGUGUGGCUAUUGGAGAUAAGAAUCUCUGGUUAAAGGGUGGGCAUGGUGGCUCACACGAAUGAUCCCAGCACUGGGGAGGCUGAGGCAGGAGGAUCGCUGCGAGUUUGAGGCCAGCCUGGGCUACACAGUGAGUUCUAGGCCAGCCUGGACUACAUAGUGUGACCCUGUCUCAAAAAACCAAAACCAAAACAAACGAACAACAACAAAUAUCUGCUGUUAACUCGGCCUAAAUUCCAAGUCAUCACUCAAAAGGUUUAAGUCAUUUGCUAUACUGAAUGUGAUUCUAUGUAUUUUUGAACAGCUGUUUAUUUUAAACUAUAUAUAAUAGUAUACAUUGUAUAAUUACUCAUACUUCUUCCUGUAUAAUAUUGCAUUACAAAACCAUAUGUACUAUACUUAAUGGGAAGUUUAAGGAAUUUUCAAGUGCAACUGUCCAUUUCCAUACCUGCAUUAAGAAGCUUUUUCUCAGAAAUUACAUGUGUCUCAGAAGGGUGGAAGACAGGACCUGAGUGAGCAAAUAUUGCUUUUUAUCAUUUGGUGAAACAAAGGCUUAAAGUAGAAAUUAAGUAGAGUUUUGGAAAAAUAUUUUUUAAAUUCAAAUGAGUUUGUGAGUUGAGAUUCACACUACAACUCUACCCUUGUUAGUCUCACAUGUUAUUAUAGAAAAUGCAGUUGAGGUAGAAAGGAAUAUUAGAUGGUAGUGACAAAGAAUGAAUUAGUGCUACACGGAACAGCAGAUGAAUCUUACAAAUAUAAUGUUGAAUGAAAAAGAUUCAUAAGAGCGUUUAGUAUAUGAUCCUGUUUAUAUUAGGUUUCACACCAGGAAAAACUAAUCAAUAAUGUUAGAAAUGUUAGAAUGAGAUAAGGAAACAGAACUUGGGCACUGGCAGGAUACCUGAGACAGUUUUGCAUCCUGGAUUCUCUUCCAGCUGAUUGAGGUCCAUGGGAGACAAGGAUGGAGGUGUCAAAUCAUCCAGAGCAGAACCUGUGUGCCAGUCCCUGGAGACGGUCUAGAAAUUCAGGGGCACUUGGGGACUUGCACACAUCAGAAGAAAUAUCUGAGUAGGUGAGUGUGAGGUAUUGCCACUAAACCCUCUGUGCUGUUCACAGCUGGGUAGGAGCAUCAGAGUAUUCUGGCACAGGUAGCGGUGGCAUGGAUAUGGUCCAGAAGGUUGGCAGCCUUGAAAUGUUUUUGUUUUCUGGGCAAGGAUGGCCCAGCACUGCCCUGCUAGACUCAGUCAUAUUGUGCAGAUGGUGGAUCAGUUGGCCCUGACAAGAUGGCACUUUUAGCCAUCACAGAAUUUUCUGGAGAAGCCAGCUCUUCAUCCUUUCUUUUAGACUUUAAAAUCUUCAUAAAAAUGCUAUGGACCUACAGAGAGUAGUAUAUUUGAGCUCAGGAUUCUAGCAGAAUCAUGGACUUGAAAACAGUCAUGAUUUCUUGCCAUGGAUUACUUCUGCUUCUCCCUGUGUCCUUUCUCUUUGGUAAUGACUGGUUUUUCUCUCCUUCUUAGUCUACAUAGAGGAACAUGCUACCAGCUGGACCAAAGUUUUAAAUGUGAAAAUGCAAAUCCAGGAAAAGAGAUCUAUCCCUCUUCCGAAGCCCAAAGUGAACAUUUUCAAGGGGAUAAGAUUGAUUAGCCUACACUGGGAUGGUGCUCUCUGAAUCGAUAGCUUGUAGCUAGAAGAACAGGAUAAUACUGUACAAACUAUGUGGCUUGAUUUUUUUGACAAGGGGAAGGCAAGAUCUACAAAAGUAGGACAAGUGGUGGGACCAACAAUGUGAGUUCAGGGUGGUCAGUCCUCUUUGGCUUCUUUUCAUGGCUGCUGAGAAAGAAGAUGGAACAGGUUCCCUGAGCCCUCAUCCAAGGAAGUAAGAAUUGAUUACUAGCUUAGCCAUUACUUUACCUUGCUUGCAGACAUGUCCUCCUUUGAACUCUCUUUGUUUUUCUUUAUCUAUCUCCAGCCUGUAGACAAAGAAGCUCUGCUGAGGCUCCCAAGUGAAAGGUGCUGUCCCAUUUUACAAAAGCCUUAGGACCAGUCCUCAGAACACUUUGGUCCUUUGCCAUCCGAGAGCAAGUACACGGAGGUGUCUUGAGGCGUUAAGCGCCAGCUUGCAGAGAUAGUGAGGUAUAUUUUAGAACCCAAACUGCUGUCAGGGAACAUAUGGAUUUUGUUAUUUCCAUCCUAGCAGCUUUCUCUCCAUGGGUUUUGACAUAUGAAUUUCAAAAGGAGGGAGUGUUUUCCUGAUUGACACCUCAGAAAUACUCUUUGUGGCAAAAUCACAAAUAUUUCCAGAUCUUGCUGGGCAUGGAGAUGGCUGAGCUGCUGGAGACAUUCUAUCAGUGUCACUUGACACAGCGUGUGAGGUCAGGCAGGGGUGAACACUGUUGGCUGGACACAAAGGUUGAGCAUUAUCUGCUCUGUGGGGGGACACAUCACACUCAGCCAGCUCAGGAGGGAGACUGACACAUGUGGGUCAUUGCACGGAGUCUUUUCUCCCUGGCAGAGCAAAGCAGGCCUGACAUUCCCGGAAGAAAAUGACACUGAAAGCAGUCAGACAAAGGCCAGGCAAGCAUUACCAAGGCUUUCUGGAAAAAGCUUUCUUCGUGGACUCACGCCAAUCAUUACUUUACUUACCUUAACUAAUUCAUUUCUUGUUUUUGUUCCUUAAUAAAAGAAAGGCAACUGUCAUUUAUUGAAUUUUUUGUGGGCUAGGAUUGGUAGUGUGCAAGAAAUGGCUUGGCCAAGCUCAGGAGAACCAACUGAACAAUUUCCAGGAAUCCUGCAAGAUAACUGUUAAACACAAGCCAUUAUUAAAAAUUAAAUUAUACUAACAUAUAAUUAAACUGUGUUAGAACAGAGGUAAUAAAUACUCAAAACUCAUCACAUUCUAAUUAUUUUACUACAUUGUACUGUUGUGCUCAUGAACUUAUUUGUAUCUACUGCAUCUGUAUGUUGGAAAUACUGUAAAAUAACUUGCUACUGUGCAUCUCUGUGAAAAUUGGCCGUAGUGGGAGGAACUAGCAAAUGUUACAAAUCUGGGCCGGUUUUAAAAAUUGUUUUCAUCCUUCAAGAUAAUGACAACAGUGGAGAAAAUGUUAAUAAUACAGAUUAAAUUAAAAAUGUAUGUUUGUAGCUGAUACACUAUCAGCUACAAAAAUUUUGGAAAAUAGUAUUUGAAACUCAUUCCUUGAUUUGGUAAAGAAGUUGUAGUUGUUCAUGUCAUUGACCCAUGACCGAAAUUCUGACAUUUUCAUCUCAUUUUUAUCUUUUGAAUGUUAACAAAAAUAUCAAACAACAUAUCUGUGUCACAGCUAUACUCAUUUGUCAGUUGCAGCCAUAGGUUGGCUGUGGAUGCAACAGUUCAACAAUUCCUUGAAAGCAUUUUGUGAGAAUUAACUGGCUAAAUGAAAUUUACAAUAAUGAAUAUAGUAUAUCUCAUUAUUAGUAGUGAAUUAUGCGUGACAUAUCUUUUUAUCAGUAGAAUUUCCAUAAACAUUUAUGAAUACUCACACAUUUUUGAGGAGGGGUAAUUAUUAGCUAUUGUUACCUUUGCUAUGAAUAUACUUCCCUCUUUACCUUGUCUUCCAAGACCCAAUUCAAAGUCUGAUCUACCCCUUCUUUCUGGUCCUAUGUUGCAGCCCUUGUUACCAGUGCAUUAGGGUUUGGGAAGUUCCCUGUACUUUCUAGAAUAAGUAGAGUGGAAGAGCAGGAACCUUGAAUAUUCAGCUCUGAACAAGUUAGAGCUGUGCUCAAUGCUUGAUACCUAGGAGUUGUCCACAAGGUGUGGGUUGAAAGAGAGAGCAAGAACCCUGGGCAGAAGUGGGGAGAAAGAGAAAAGAAAGUGGUCAUGUACGUAGAAAAGGGGCAGUGGGCAGUACUGCUACCUGCCAUGUAGGUUGACAUACUCAGGUGUGUUUGCUCACUGCUGACCAAAUCAAAGGAGGCCAUUUAUUUUGGUAAAAAAGAAAAAGGAUUUAUUCAAAGCUAGCUCUAAGGAAAUGGAGGUGCCCUUUUGCCUCCAACCCCAAGCUCACUGUGUACAGGUGUGAAGGGACAGGGAGAGGGAACACAGAGAUAAUGCACAUCUUCACCCUUGCUUUGUGGCUUCAGGCAUCUUCAGCUCCUUCUCUACUUUCUUGUAGAAAGGAAACUGGGCCCUGGCCUCCAUGGGGCUGGUAUCUGCAAUUUUGUCACUUUUGGGGGGCAGACGAGAGAAGGGCGUGUUGGUUAUGUGCUCAGUAGGAGAUGUGUGGAGAAAUGUAGAGAAGUUGCUUAUCUCUAAAAUUAAAAAAUUAUAAUUUAAAGUUCCAUUUUGUGGUGCCAGUUACAAUAGUAUAGAGCACAUUUUGAUAUUUAAGUUUACUUAGGGUUCCUGCAGUCUGUAUCGAAUGCAGCAAGUUUUGGCUGAUCAAACCACAACACUGAUAAACUGGAUUUGUUUGGAAAUGACCUAGACUUUACAAGAGCAAGACAAGUCACCAGCUAAUCAUAUCACUUAAGGUACUUGACAUGAUCCUGGCUGAGCUCAGCUCAGUGAUUAAAUCCUUCCAGACAGUUUUUUCUUUUUAAGCAACAGUCACUGAACACCUAUUUGAAUGUGGUAGGCACUAGAUUUUCCACAUGUCCUAUGUAAGAGACAACAUCAGAAGCCCAUGAGAACCUGCUUUCCUCCGAGGAACUUGUCCUGUUGUAUAUCCUGGCUGCAAAGCCCCUCCUCACACCCCUGUGGAGGGGCUUGGGUGCCAGUCCUCCUAUUCAAGAAGUGUUUUCAGUCUUCUCAUCCCAGCCAUUAUUGAGUAGCUGGCUGAGUUUCCUGUCCAAGAAGGACACAAUUACCUGCCUCCCACAAUAUACAUCCAGCCAGGAUCAGCUUACUCGUGGCCAGCCAGCCACUCCCCUAAGAGGAGCAGUUGCCGAUAAGCUUGGAAAAAAACAAGUCUCCCUUUAUCUCCUAUUACCUCCAUCACAUUGGUCGUAAAUAAGGUCAGCCGGGAUCUGUCUAGCCUCCAGCCAUGGCCCAGUGUAAAGUAGAUAUGUCAAAGAAAAUGGGAAAAAUCUUUUACACUCCUUCCAUACUUUCUCUCAAGUCACUCAAAGAGCCAAAUGAAAUAGGGUGUGGGUCUUCAUUUCCCAUCGUGCAGUGGAUCCUCCUUUUGUCUUUGUCCUCUGCUAGUUUAUUCUUAAUUCAGAGGCCAGAAGGUUCUAGUUAAAAGGCACACCAGACUAUGUCAAGCCUUUACUCAGAACCUCCAAUAGCUCCAACUGCAAUCAGAAGCUGUGACUGAAGACUCUUGUAUCCCAACCCCUUGUGAAUCUGAUUUCCUACUGGUUCCUUCUCCUCAGCAGCCUCAAUAAUCUUGUUCCUUGAGCUCAUCACCCCACCCUCACCCCCACCCAGAGCCUUUACUUUCCUUGUUCCUUCUGCCUGGGACAUUCAUCUCCCAGCUAGCCACAAGGCUUCCUCCCUCACUUCCUUUACUCUGUGUGAACCUCACCUUGUCAGUGAAGUCUACUAUGAUGUGCACAGAAGACCUUACCUUUCCCUCUGCUGCUGGUCCUCAUCGCCCUGUUCUAUCAUUCCCAUGGGAUUUACCAUCUUCUAGCAUAACAUAAUUUAUAUAUUGAAUCUGUUUAUAGGUUUUCUCUCCCCAGUAUAAAUGUAAGCUUUAAGAAGCCAUAGAGGGGCCAGGGAUUUAGCUCAGUGGUUCCGGUGCCUGCCUCGCAAGCACAAGGUCCCAAGUUCAAUCCCCAGGACCAAAAAAAAAAAAAAAAAAAGAAGGCAUAGAUUACGUCCUUUUAGUUUGCUGAUGCAUCUCAAAAAUGUCUAAAACACGAUAGAUAAUAGAAGCUCAAUAAAUAUUUGUCAUAUGAUGUAUACUUCUUAAAUUGAGGAAUCUAGGGGCACCUCAAAGUUAAUGAACAUUGUGGAGGCAUCUGGGACUAAAAAUCAGUUUCCUCCAUGCUAGAACCCACAUCCAUCAUCUAAUCCUCAUUUCCUUUUUAUCAACAACAGCACUUAGGGGAAAAUACCAGAGAGUUCCCUAUGGAGCUGAGUAGAUAGAUUUUUUUUUAAUAUUUAUUUGUUCAUCAAGGUCAAGGAUGCCAUAUGAAAACUCUGUAAGUAUUUUUUUCACAUUAAUACAUUUUCCUGAAAAUGUCCGUGAAUUUGGAUGAUUUUAUAUUCAUAUGCCAAUACUUGAAGAAUAAAUCUCAAACAAGGAGUCUUUGUUGUUAGUAGUGGUGUCUGUGGAGGUGGAGACAGGGAGGUGCAGUUGCGGAGGAGAAAUAUAGAAACAUUAGUUUAAUCAUGUGGGCUACUCUGUUAAUAAAGCUAGUGCCUCCUUUAUGACAAGGAGCUCUGGAAAACCAAAUAGAAAAUUGCUUUCCUUUAAAGAGAUCUACUGAGUCAUCGUCUGAAUCCCCUCUCUGCUACUUCUCACUUGGACUGCUGGUGAUUUUACUCCUAAUUUAUCUAAAGGGAGCUUAUGAAUCAUCAUCAAGAUUAAUUUCCAUUAGCUCCUCUAUCACUAAACACCGAAGUAACCUGUUGUAGUUAUCUAUUGCUGGAUAAUAAAUUACCCCAAAAUUUAGUACGUUAAAACAGCAACCAUUUCAUUUGCUUACAACUCUGUGCUUCUGUAAUUUAGAGUUCAGCUGGGUGGUCUUCCUGUUCCAGGCAAUGCUCACUGUGAUCACUCAUUGGCUGUAUGCAUCUGGUGGCUGGGACCAGCUGUAAGUUGGCUUGUUCACAUCUCUGGUGCCUUAGUUCUCCCCUAUGUGGCUUCUCUUUCUCCAGGCACUUGGGCUUCCUCAAAGUAUGGUGGUUUGAAGACUCAGCAUUGCAAGUUCCACAUCACUGACCUUUUUAUCAUAUUCUCUUGGUCAAAAUAGAACAAAGAACCCAUUGUAUUCAAAGAGAGUAGACUGUCUUUGGGAGGCAUGACAAAGAAUUUGUGACUGUGUUUAAUCCAUUAUACAACCAAGUACAGGUAGUCAGUCCUCAUUUUCCAUCAUACUUUAGCUCAUCUCUCUCUUAAUAGAAGAGGUAAAUGAGAAAUUAAAAAAAGAUGUAUCAAGAGCUGUGAGCAUAUAAGCACCCAAAAUACGCAUCUCCAUUAUUUAUGAAUGCUCUCGCCUUGGCCAAACACUUUAGUAAUUUUUCUGUCACCAAGUCUGUCCCUGAACAUGUUCUACUUCUAUUUAGAACCAGUCUGUCCUCAGAAGUGGCUCCUCAAAUCCUAGAUCCUAAACACCAUGGAGCUCUUACAACCAAACCUUCCCUAUCCCCACUGCUCAUACUUUUCCUGGGACCUAGGAGACUUGGGACAUCUAUUGGUUUCUUAAUUUUAUAUUUUAAAAAUGUUAUUAACAUGUGAAGUGUCUUUAAAUUUUAUAGUAUUGUAAAUCCAAAGGAGAAAAUCUGGCUCCCGCUGACUAGCUCCUACUGACUUAAUUUUGACAUUGAAAUUAUUUCCACAGGAAACUGAUGAAUCUGCCAAGUUGUAAAGCAAGCAGCAGUCCAUUGUAAGAUGAAAGUGAGGCACCGGGGACUCAACCAACACUCAAAGACUAGUGGGCAUGUUUAGGUUGAGCAAGCAGGGAGCUCAGAUCCCUCAUGGCAUCCACCACAGUUACCAGCACAUCUCCCUCAGCAGACAUAAGGCCAUUGGAAGGAGAAGAAAAAAAAAUGGUUUAGGUAAGUUUACAUUUGGCUUGGAUCAGUGUGAGAAUACAGCCUGAAAAUGAAAAACCACCAUAUAACAACCACACUCAAGAGUGACUUUGAAAGAAAAUGGGGAAAAAAAGAGAAUGAAAAUCUUAUCACUGAGUGGAGCUAUAAUUAGAGCAUCUGGCCACUAAUGUUAUGGAAAGACAAGUGGUCCAAGCUGAGUAUGACUUAAUGGAUUGGUUCGAGGUCUAGAAGGAAAAUGACUGGAAAAUUGGAGACAAAGAGGUCUGGGGUGGAGCCACGUGGCCAGACCUACAGGAGUGGGCAUGAAGUAUGCGCAUGUUAAUGUGACAUGUUAAUGUCCACUGGAAAGCAUCCACUACAGAAGUGACAUUGGACAAUUUACAUUAGCUAGCCUUCAUCAUUAGUUCCCUCAGAACAGGCUUGAUGGACUGUCAAAAGAAAUGGCCAUACUGGUGAAAAAGAGCUUCCAUAUGGACCCAAAUGCAAAGACUUCCACUGAAGAAGACUGAUGCAGAUAUCGCCUUCUCUGAAUGUCCAAACUGCUGACAACAAGGACCAAUCCUGAGCCCCAGUAUGCUUCCUUGACAAUUUGUCCUCAUAUCAAUAGACACCUAUUCUGAGUGUGAGUCUGCCUUUCAUGUCUGCAGAGCUUUAUGUAGCAACAUUAUCCAGUGGUUUAUGUGGAAACUGACUCACAGCGCAGGCAUCAGGAAUUUAGGGUUCAGAGCCACUCUGGCCCACACCUGGAGAGUUUCCUUCCUCCUGGGAUUCCCAGGGAAAAGCAUGGCUUUCUCUAGACUCUCAGGUGUAAGUCCUUCCUUUCUGCUUUAGAGGCUCCACAUUAGGAAGAUCAGGAUCAGAGCCUCACUCAAACACUCACCCACGCCUAACAUUCUUACUCUCUCCAGUCUUUCUCCUUCCUGCCUUAUCCACUUAUCUCUUCAAGUCUGAAAAUUACUUUAACAUUGUAUCUGUGUCUUCUCAAGUCUAUGGUUCAAAGUAUAAAUCCUGUGGUUUGCUAGUCCUCUAAUAUUGGCUUUAGAUAUUUAAACCCUAGUUUCUGGAACUCUCAUCAAACUAACUUCCUUCCUUUCACUUCUCCUCAUUGUCUUCCUCCCUCUUGUCUUCUACCUUUGAGUUCUAAAAUCUCAAAAAAGCCUGGUCCUUGCAAUAAGAAAACACUGUCUAUUGUGUGUUAAAAAUUCCAUUCAGCAAACCAGUUGACUUAUUUGAACCAGGAUAUAUAAAAAUUUUUUUGAACUUCAGACAUAUAUCACAGUCUCUUCCCAGCUGAGAAUUUAUCCUGUUCUAGGCCCAUGAAACAUUUCCUAAGGGUGAUCAGUUAUUAAGCCAUAAUAAAAAGUUUAAUACAUUCCAUCAUUCAGGCCACAAUCUUCGAUCACUAUGCAGAGAGAUUUAACAUUAAUGCCAAAACUUAAAAGAAUAAAAUCCCACCACACUCUUACAUAGCUUUUGGAUCAAAGAGAAAUCAAAAGAGUGAUUGCAGGUUAUUUAUAAAACAAUGAUAAGAAUACUACAUAAGUGAGGUGGCCAAGAUUGUGCAUAGGAACAAUUAGUUUUAGAGGCUUUUGUAAUUAAACAAAGAAAAGAAUACAAAUAAACUGUUCAAGUAGAAGUUAAAAACAGAGCCAACAAAUACGACUAUGGCAAAUAAAAGAGGAAAUUGAUAAAGACUAAAGUAGAAAUUAGCAGUUAGAAGAAAGCCAGUAAAUUUGAUAGAUAAAUAAAUAAAAUGGUUCUUUAAAGUAUUAGAUAAAAAAGAAAAACUUUUUCCAAAGCCAAUCAAGAAAAACAAGGGGAAAAACCAAGCAAUUGGAGUGAGGACAGAUAUAUAACCACAGCUAGCAGAGAGAUUUAUGUUUUAUUAUGUAGAUUAUUAUGCUGAACUCUACUAAAACUUAUGAAGUCUGGGAAAAUGAAUGAUUUUCCAAUAAAAUAAAUUAUCAAAAUUUGUUAAGGAAUAAAAUGUAAAUAUACUCAUGAUCAUAAAAGAAAUUUUAAGAGUUUUCGGAGCUCUCCAAAAAUAUGCAUAGCUUUUACAAGCCAGAUCCAAUAGAACUUCACUGAGCAUAUAAUUGUCAUAGAAUUUAAACUGUUGCAGAAUUUCACUUCAUUUUACUAAAUUAGCAUAGUCUUGAUCUCUAAAUGUGUAGCAAGAAUCUACUAUAAUCUCAGAUGUGAAUAUAUUUCACGAAUUUUAAGUAAAGUAUUAGCAAAACAAAUCAAUAGUAUAACAAAAGAAUAAUGUGGCCUGGGAUUUAGCUCAGUGGUUUCGGUGCCUGCCUCGCAAGCGCAGGGUCCCGAGUUCAAUCCCUGGUACCCCCCCCCCCCCAAGGAAAGAAAACAAAAGAAUAAUGUAAUAUGAGUAAAGUUUUUCUGAGAAUGGAGGCAUAGUUCAAUAAUGGAAAAUCUCAGACAUUAGUGGAAAAUAAAUUGAUGCAGCCUUUUAGGGAGGGCAGUUUGAUUAAAUUCUAUCAAAUUUAGGAAUGCAUUGAAUCUGUGCCUUAGUCCCCUUAUAGUUACCUGUACUUAAAGAAAUAUGGGUACAAGAUGUUUGCACAAGAACCCUCUUUUUUUCUUGAUAGUGAGACAGAGAGAGAGACAGACAGACAGAGAGACAGAGACAGAGAGAGGAAACAACUUAAAUAUCCAUUAAUAAGAGAAUGACUAAGUCACAGUGUUACACUAAAAAGUACAAGGUAGUAUUUUAAAAGAAUGGGUUACUCUGUACCAAAACAGAAAAAUCUCUGCUACAUUAAGUAAACAAGACAACAAAACCAAACCAUUACUGGAGACCUCUCAGUAGGUUCCAGUCUCCUGCCCAGUAUACGAUGCAGAGCUGAAGAAAGACUCAAAAACAGAAUUAAAGAAAAAAGUGGGGAGCCAGGAUGGCCAGUGCUGAGCAACCAGGAAGGCCAUGGUCACUGAUUUUUAUUGGUAAUCAAAUUGGGAUAAAGGGUAACUAUGUGCUAAGAUGUGCAGUUGUGCAGUUGCUAUGAAUACUAAUGCAGGUAAGGCUUGUAAAGGAAAAGAUAAAGCAUUCUUGAAGUAAGAUCAGAACAGAGAAAAUAUAGGGUUGUAAUUAGUACCUUGUCCUUCUAGUUAAGAAGGUUUUAGUUGUGAGAAUGGAAUUUGGGUGCGAGUUACUUUGACCUCAGCUACUAUAUUAUCUCAUAUUGAGCCCCAUAGCUUCACAGAACAUUUCUCUGGUCUCUGCUGGGGCCGUUAGUGGGAAGGUCAUGCUAACCUGUGCGCUACUGCAGUGCUUAGGAGGUGCUUCUAUGAGUCACAUAAGCUUCAGACUCUCUUCUUAAAAUGGGCCAAUUGAGGGGUUAACUCUUUAUAGCCUGCACUGCUUACAGCCCACUUUGGGCAUAAUCAGUAGGGUGGCUCCCUACAAACCCCAAAUAUAUGAACUAAAUAAUAUUAUAUAAUGAUCCUAUUAAUGUAAAAAAAACUGUAGAGCCACAAAUGUGUGCACUUACCUGAGUAUGUAUAAAUGAAGAUAGCUCUAUCUAUAGAAGAUAACUCAAGAGGUGAGGAUGGGGUUGAUGACAUGGUACUGGGUGGCAAAGAGAUGUCAUUUUUUUUCCAUAUAGGUCCUGCAUUGUUUCACAUUUUCACAAUGAAGCUAUGCUCAGGGGUCACUUGUGUAACUAAAAUAGUAAAGAGUCAAAUAACACAUUUUGUAAUAAUUCAUUCCAUCAAUAAUCAAAAGAGGAAAAAAUCCUUAUACUUGAUGGUUUCCAGAAAAGCUUCUACCUCCUGCUAAUUCUUUUUAAAACUAAUUUUUUUUGGGGGUACCAGGGUUCGAACUCAGAACCUUGUGCUUGCGAGGCAGGCAGUGGAACCACUGAGCUAAAUCCCCAGCCCCUUAAAACUAAUCUUAAGAAAGAAAAAAGAAACUUUUAAAGUAAGAUCAAGAAUAUCAAGACAAUGAUUAUCAUCAUACUUAACAGUGGAGGGUUAAAGUAGUACCUAAUAAAGUUGGGCAGAUGGACUGGGAGGUCAGUAAUAUAAUUAUUGAACACUUAACAAUUUUGGUCAAUUCAAUUCCAUAGGAAAAGAAGAAACAGUAACCUUGAGAGAGGAAAGGAGUGUGGUGGGGGGAGAGAGAGAGUAUUAAUGUGUUAAGAAGGAAUAUAAAAUUGUUACUGUUUACAGGUAUGAUAAUCUCCAGGGAAAACCCAAGAGGUUCAACAAUAAAAGAGCACUUGCAUACGCCAAGGGCUUCCUGGCUGCCAGCCCUCUGCUCAGUCUUCAUAGACACAGUCUCAUUUAAUUCCCAAGAACCCUACGAUGCACAUUUAUCGUUUCUGUUCAACAGACAAGGAAAACUAUGUGCCUCAAAGGUUUAGGAGGCAGUGAGUGGUGAAGCAGCUGAGCCCAGAUUUAACCUGAGCUCUGAAUCUGGAGCUGGUUGAGAUCCUGCAGCCUGAAUGCACACUGUUUAAAAGCCACAGGGUAUCUUUUAAUAAGAAGACAACUAUAAUAGAGAAAAAGAUAUAAUAAUAAACACUUUAAAGUGGUGGUGUUUAUAUAGAAUAUCAAAAGCUAAUUUGGAAAUAUCAGGAAAAAUUACGUUCUAUGUGCCAUGGCGACCAGAAUUAUGUUAACAGCACACUUAAAAAUACCAGUAAAAGAAAACUUCAAAACUUUACCGAGAGACAAAGAAAAAACUUGAAUACACAGAGACAUGCUCAUCUGUAACUUGCAAGUCAAUAUUGAAUAUAUUUCAGUUGUACUCAAACCAACCCACAAAUAUAAAUUCUUAACAAAUUAGCAGUUUUGUCAGAACCUGACCAAACUACUCUUUUAAGAAAAAUGUUUAAUUUCAAGAGCUCAUUGUAUUAAACAAAUCAGAAAUACGUCACAUAAAACAUUUCCUCCAGAAGUAAACACUGUAAACAUUGUUAUUUGAAGCCCCCCUCAGAAUCCUGCUCUUUUAGCAUAAUAAAGACAAAUGACAUGCAGAGAAUGGCUUAGAGUAGGUCAUGAGGGCAUAUUACUAAGUUUUUAGGAAUUUUGUGAACUGGUUGAUAAACAUAGGCAAUAUGAAGAUCAUAUUAUAUAAACUAACAAUAAGUUAUUUAAAAAGCGUAAGUAAAACAUUUUUAAAGUUCAUUUCUUUCGAAUUAUUUUAUUAAAUGAUGUUAGCUAUGUGUGCUUCUAAGGUACUUUACAUGUAUUUUGUCUGAAUGAUGGACAUGCUAAACAGUGGUCUGCUGUUGUUCUCCUCCCAAUUCUGUGAGCAGUGACAUCAUGUUAGCAGGUUGCAACUGACUAUGGUGGGGAUACUUUGACCAUGGAGGGUGGCUGUGUUUGUCAGCUUUCUGUUACUAUAACAAAUGGCUAGAAUAAUCAAUUUCAAAAGAGAAAGGUUUAUUCGGCUUAUAGCUUUGGAAGUUUCACCCCAGGAUCAGAUGGCCCUGUUGCUUUUAGGCCUGUGAUGGCACAUCGUGGGGGGAUCCUGAGGUGGAGAAAAAACACCCAUGCAUGCCUGGAAGGCAGGAAAGAUCAGGAUCCCACCAUCCCCUUCAAGGGCACACCCCCACUGACCUGAAGACCUUCUCUCAGAACCCACUCCUUGGAGUUUCCACCGCCUCCCAGCAGCACCAAGCAGAGGCCCAAGCCUUUAACGCAUGGGCCUGUGGGGGCCACUCCAGAUCCAAACUGUAGCACUGACAAAUGCUACUGACCACAGUCUUUUCAGAGCUGGUUAUUAAACAUUGAACUCAGUAGCAGGAGUCAUAUGUAUUUUAUCUGUGUGUGUAUGCACGUGGUUCAAUAAAAGAGGGGAAAAAAUCAUAUCUCACCUCCCUACUUAAAAGUAGAAUAAAUGAGGAUGACAAAUACAACUUGUUUCAUAAUCAGUACUAAUGAGGUAGAAAAGGAUUCCUUGCGGCAAAGAACUUAAAAGAGUUAUCACACUUAAACAUGUCAUGAAUUUUUCUUUUAUAAAAGACAGUGUUUUCAAUCUACUAAUCUUUUCCAGGAUGAAAGUAGGGUCAGUAAAAUGCACUUCAAAUUAUUUGGAAAAAACAGAUAUGCUUGUCUUUUCAAGGCACAAAUUACAUUGUAACAAAGAGUGGGGGAAUAACAGCCUUUUGGGAAUAACAGCCUUUCGAGAUAAACUCAUGCUUUGGAGAGAGUAUGCUGGAAAUGGGCAGAAGAUAUACCUCUAGAGUUGUGUGAUUUUGGGGGCUGAAAAUGAUGUAAGUGAACAGUCUAUAAAAAGACUAUAUCUGCUUACUUUAAAAACUUGGAAAUAGGAUAUUCUACUGUGCUUCAGUCUUCUGAAAUAAACUAACUUGCUAACAAUGUGGAAAGAUAAAAGCUUCCAAUUAUUUGGCAGAAACAACCAGCAGCCAUCAGGAAUAAUGGAAAUUGUUAGCUGAAUCUCAACAAAGACAUUUGCAUAUUGGUGAACAAAACUGCAAAUGAGUAUCACUAUUACUGGAGCAUAGUCUAUAAAAAUACUGCUUUCAUUUGGUGUCUUGCGUGAUGGUGAAGCUGCUUUUCACUUAUUUCAAAACCAAUUACUGGAAUAAUCUGAGUUUAGAAGGAGAAUUGGGAGGGGCUGAGUAUCACAGAGCAUUGAGUCAAGAUUGUAAAAUAAAGAAAUAACAUUUACCUUUGUUAAAACACAUUUUUAAGUGAGAGAAAAAUAUCCUGUACCUUAACAAUGAAGUUUAAAAGUAUUUACUUGAUAUUUAAAUUUUCCUUUUAAAAUUCCGCAGUGUGGAAUUGGACCGGCAGCAUCCCCGGGGAGCUGGUUAGAAAUGCAGCCUCUCCUGCGACUGCAUGACAGCCCCCACCUAACUGCUUCGAGGAAUCGUGUGCAUUGACAAGUUCUGGCACAAGCACCAUCGGGGCUACUUUGCUGUUUGGUGGGUGGGCAGUUGAUGGGGUUGGGAGUGGUCAAUUUGUCAGGUUGGAGAUUUCAAAGACGGGUAAUUCUGGACAUUUUGAAUGGAUAGUAAUCUUAAAACAAUUGUCAGAAGUAGAUGGAGACUCGCUGCAUAUAAUUCCCAACCCUACUGUAUAAAAGCACUAAAUAGCAGACAGUUCUAUUACGGUAUUUCUUGUAGCCUCCUGGUUAGUUCUUACAAGAUGGUUGUUAUAAAAGCCUGAGCUGGUGCUGCCCUCUCUCCCUGGCUUCCUGUUUCUAGAUGUGGUCUCUUCCUCCCACAUUGUCUCCGCCAUCACCAACUGCCAUGGGGCAGCCAGGGUUGCUGCCAUAGUGUUUGGACUUUCAGCCUCCAAACUGGAAGUGAAAAACCCUCUUUAUAAAGUUAGCCUGCCUCAGGUAUUUUUUAUACUAGUGAGAAAAAGACCAGUGCAUGAGCUAAUAUAUGACAUUAACUUUUUAUUUUACUCUUUUUAAAUUUUAUAUAUUUAUUUAUUUUUGGUACCAAGGAUCGAACUCGGGUCCUUGCGCUUGGGAGGCAAGCGACGGAACCACUGAGCUAAAUCCCCAGCCCUAUAUGACAUUCACUAUGGGCCAGGUGCUAUCCUAAAUUCUCCCUGUGAAUUAAUUAUUUAAUCCUCUUUCACCCUAGGAGGUGGAUCUAUUGUUAUCCUCAGUUUACAGCCAAGGAAGCUGAAGUACAGAGAAAUUAUUUGCUCAGAGUCAGAGCUAAUAAAUAGUGAAGACAGGAUUUGGACAUAGUCCAGCUCCACAGCCUAAGCUUUUAACCAUUAUGCUGCACUGCACGGGUAUAAAAUAAAUAAAUAAAUAAAUAAAUAAAUAAAUUCCUAUAUAUUAUGGAUGCACCCUCAAAUAAUUUUAUUGAUGGAAAAGUGAUAAAAAGG